rnacentral:rRNA from 1 species
AGAGUUUGAUCCUGGCUCAGGAUGAACGCUGGCGGCGUGCUUAAUACAUGCAAGUCGAACGAAGUUAUCUCGCUGAGGCGAGCUUGCUCAAUUCUUGAGAUAACUUAGUGGCGGACGGGUGAGUAACGCGUGGGUAACCUGCCUUACACAGGGGGAUAACAGUUAGAAAUGACUGCUAAUACCGCAUAAGCGCACAGUAUCGCAUGAUACAGUGUGAAAAACUCCGGUGGUGUAAGAUGGACCCGCGUCUGAUUAGCUAGUUGGUGAGGUAACGGCCCACCAAGGCGACGAUCAGUAGCCGGCCUGAGAGGGUGAACGGCCACAUUGGGACUGAGACACGGCCCAAACUCCUACGGGAGGCAGCAGUAGGGAAUAUUGGACAAUGGGGGAAACCCUGAUCCCAGCGACGCCGCGUGAGUGAAGAAGUAUUUCGGUACGUAAAGCUCUAUCAGCAGGGAAGAAAAUGACGGUACCUGACUAAGAAGCACCGGCUAAAUACGUGCCAGCCGCUGC